rnacentral:rRNA from 1 species
GAACCGCCCAAACGUUAUUCGGAAUCACUGGGCUUAAAGGGUGCGUAGGCGGCGCGGUAAGUCGGGUGUGAAAUCCCUCGGCUCAACCGAGGAACUGCGCCCGAUACUGUCGUGCUUGAGGGAGGCAGAGGUGAGCGGAACUGAUGGUGGAGCGGUGAAAUGCGUUGAUAUCAUCAGGAACACCGGUGGCGAAAGCGGCUCACUGGGCCUUUUCUGACGCUGAGGCACGAAAGCUAGGGGAGCGGGACGGGGGAUUAGAUACCCCGGUAGUCCUAGCUGUAAACGAUGAGCACUUGGUCGGAGGUUCCUCCAUAGAUUUCCGGCCGUAGCGAAAGUGUUAAGUGCUCCGCCUGGGGAGUAUGGUCGCAAGGCUG